GAUGAAGAACGCAGCGAAAUGCGAUAAGUAAUGUGAAUUGCAGAAUUCAGUGAAUCAUCGAAUCUUUGAACGCACAUUGCGCCCGCCAGUAUUCUGGCGGGCAUGCCUGUUCGAGCGUCAUUUCAACCAUCAAGCCCCAGGCUUGUGUUGGAUCCCUGCGGCUGCCGCAGCCUCCCAAAACCAGUGGCGGGCUCGCUAUCACACCGAGUGCAGUAGUUUACUCUUCGCUCAGGGCGUGUGGCGGGUGCUAGCCGUAAAACCCCCAACUUCUCAAGGUUGACCUCGGAUCAGGUAGGAAUACCCGCUGAACUUAAGCAUAUCAAUAAGCGGAGGA
rnacentral:misc_RNA from 1 species